rnacentral:rRNA from 1 species
AUUGAACGCUGGCGGCAGGCCUAACACAUGCAAGUCGAACGAGUGGCGGACGGGUGAGUAAUGUCUGGGAACCUGCCCGAUGGAGGGGGAUAACUACUGGAACCGGUACCUAAUACCGCAUACCAGCGGGUGGGCCCAGAUGGGAUUAGCUAGUAGGUGGGGUAAGGGCCCACCUAGGCGACGAUCCCUAGCUGGUCUGAGAGGAUGACCAGCCACACUGGAACUGAGACACGGGCCAGACUCCUAAGGGAGGCAGCAGUGGGGAAUAUGGGACAAUGGGCGCAAGCCUGAUGCAGCCAGGCCGCGUGUAUGAAGAAGGCCGUCGGGUUGUAAAGUACUUUCCGCGAGGAGGCGUUACUCGCAGAAGAAGCACCGGCUAACUCCGUGCCAGCAGCCGCGGUAAUUC